CUUGCUGCUUUGCUGACGAGUGGCGGACGGGUGAGUAAUGUCUGGGAAACUGCCUGAUGGAGGGGGAUAACUACUGGAAACGGUAGCUAAUACCGCAUAACGUCGCAAGACCAAAGAGGGGGACCUUCGGGCCUCUUGCCAUCAGAUGUGCCCAGAUGGGAUUAGCUUGUUGGUGGGGUAACGGCUCACCAAGGCGACGAUCCCUAGCUGGUCUGAGAGGAUGACCAGCCACACUGGAACUGAGACACGGUCCAGACUCCUACGGGAGGCAGCAGUGGGGAAUAUUGCACAAUGGGCGCAAGCCUGAUGCAGCCAUGCCGCGUGUAUGAAGAAGGCCUUCGGGUUGUAAAGUACUUUCAGCGGGGAGGAAGGUGUUGUGGUUAAUAACCGCAGCAAUUGACGUUACCCGCAGAAGAAGCACCGGCUAACUCCGUGCCAGCAGCCGCGGUAAUACGGAGGGUGCAAGCGUUAAUCGGAAUUACUGGGCGUAAAGCGCACGCAGGCGGUCUGUUAAGUCAGAUGUGAAAUCCCCGGGCUCAACCUGGGAACUGCAUCUGAUACUGGCAGGCUUGAGUCUCGUAGAGGGGGGGUAGAAUUCCGGGUGUAGCGGUGAAAUGCGUAGAGAUCUGGAGGAAUACCGGUGGCGAAGGCGGCCCCCCUGGACCAAGACUGACGCUCAGGUGCGAAAGCGUGGGGAGCAAACAGGAUUACAUACCCUGGUAGUCCACGCCGUAAACGAUGUCGACUUGGAGGUUGUGCCCUUGAGGCGUGGCUUCCGGAGCUAACGCGUUAAGUCGACCGCCUGGGGAGUACGGCCGCAAGGUUAAAACUCAAAUGAAUUGACGGGGGCCCGCACAAGCGGUGGAGCAUGUGGUUUAAUUCGAUGCAACGCGAAGAACCUUACCUGGUCUUGACAUCCACGGAAGUUUUCAGAGAUGAGAAUGUGCCUUCGGGAACCGUGAGACAGGUGCUGCAUGGCUGUCGUCAGCUCGUGUUGUGAAAUGUUGGGUUAAGUCCCGCAACGAGCGCAACCCUUAUCCUUUGUUGCCAGCGGUUAGGCCGGGAACUCAAAGGAGACUGCCAGUGAUAAACUGGAGGAAGGUGGGGAUGACGUCAAGUCAUCAUGGCCCUUACGACCAGGGCUACACACGUGCUACAAUGGCAUAUACAAAGAGAAGCGACCUCGCGAGAGCAAGCGGACCUCAUAAAGUAUGUCGUAGUCCGGAUUGGAGUCUGCAACUCGACUCCAUGAAGUCGGAAUCGCUAGUAAUCGUGGAUCAGAAUGCCACGGUGAAUACGUUCCCGGGCCUUGUACACACCGCCCGUCACACCAUGGGAGUGGGUUGCAAAAGAAGUAUGUAUGUGCUU
rnacentral:rRNA from 1 species